AGCGAACGCUGGCGGCAGACCUAACACAUGCAAGUCGAACGAACUCUUCGGAGUUAGUGGCGGACGGGUGAGUAACACGUGGGAACGUGCCUUUAGGUUCGGAAUAACUCAGGGAAACUUGUGCUAAUACCGAAUGUGCCCUUCGGGGGAAAGAUUUAUCGCCUUUAGAGCGGCCCGCGUCUGAUUAGCUAGUUGGUGAGGUAAAGGCUCACCAAGGCGACGAUCAGUAGCUGGUCUGAGAGGAUGAUCAGCCACAUUGGGACUGAGACACGGCCCAAACUCCUACGGGAGGCAGCAGUGGGGAAUCUUGCGCAAUGGGCGAAAGCCUGACGCAGCCAUGCCGCGUGAAUGAUGAAGGUCUUAGGAUUGUAAAAUUCUUUCACCGGGGACGAUAAUGACGGUACCCGGAGAAGAAGCCCCGGCUAACUUCGUG
rnacentral:rRNA from 1 species